UACGUAGGGGGCUAGCGUUGUCCGGAAUCAUUGGGAGUAAAGCGCGUGUAGGCGGUCCGGUAAGUCCGCUGUGAAAGUCGGGGGCUCAACCCUCGAAUGCCGGUGGAUACUGUCGGGCUAGAGUGCGGAAGAGGCGAGUGGAAUUCCUGGUGUAGCGGUGAAAUGCGCAGAUAUCAGGAGGAACACCAAUUGCGAAGGCAGCUCGCUGGGACGUAACUGACGCUGAGACGCGAAAGCGUGGGGAGCAAACAGG
rnacentral:rRNA from 1 species